GGGGAUUCUUGGACAAUGGGGGAAACCCUGAUCCAGCCACGCCGCGUGCGGGAUGAAGGCCCUAGGGUUGUAAACCGCUUUUAACAGGAACGAAAAUGCCGGUACCUGUAGAAUAAGGAACGGCCAACUUCGUGCCAGCAGCCGCGGUAAUACGUAGGGUCGGAGCGUAGUCCGGAAUUACUGGGCGUAACGAACACGUAUGGGGUUUGUUGCGUGGUUCGUGAAAUUUCGCGUCUCUUUUUUGAGCG
rnacentral:rRNA from 1 species